CUCUGAUCGGUGCCUAGCUACAGCUUGUUGCUCUGAACUCUGUCCGUAAUAAUAAUAAUAAUGCACAUAAUUUACAUAAAAAACAUUUUCUCCAUACCUAUGUACAGUCGUCGUCGUCGUCGCAUGAUUGCAUAUUGUCAUCUCGGACCGGUUCAACAAUACACGCGCUAUAUAAGAAAUGACCGUUGUAAAAAUUUGCAUAAAUUCAAUCUAUAUGCACUGUACACAAUCGGCUUUAUCGGUUUUCAAGAUUGAGAUCUCCUUCAAAAAAUGGUCGUUUGGUUUAAAAUCGAUCGACUGUUGUGUUAUGAAUCGGAUUAGUGAAAUAGAGAUUAUAUAUUAUGCUUGCUUUAUACAAUAAUAAUUAUUAUAGUAGCCAUAGAGGACAAAAAAUUGGUUGAUUUUUUGCAAUUAUAGUAGGUAUAUCUGAUUAUAUUAAAAUUAUUGCCGCGUAUACUUUUUGUUUGGAUAUUUUAACGGGCCUCUACACCAGUAUUUAUUACGUUGCAUCGUAUAGGCGAUUUUUCAAUAAAACUUAACAUUAACCAAAAUUGUUGUAAACGUUUAUGAAUUAACACAGGGUAGAAGGAUGUAUUUUUAAAUUACAUAUUUUGUUUUUUGUUCCAACUUAUUUAAUGCAUAUUUUGGACAAAAACGUAUGUCUCCACUUUGAACCACCUUAAAAAUAGUCUGAUUUAAUUUUCCAUCGUAGUGGCAUCAUUUUUUAAUUAUUUCCAUGUGAAAAAUUACAAUUUUUAAACGUGUCGAAUGAUUUUUACUAUAACAUUAAAAACAAA